AGCUAUUCUCCAGGAUAUGCUGAUGUCCAAAACCUUUCUGUGCGCCACAGUGAUAUCACUACACCCCUAUUACCUCUGUGCCACCUCUCCUUAUGACCAUGGGCUGCCAAGUGCUUUGCAGUAGAAAGGUCCAUAGCCACAAAGGAUUCCAACAACUGUGAGCUCAGGUAAUUUUGCCCCAGGCAUCAGACCUGGCCCAUAGACUUGCGUUGGGAUGAACUCUGCAUUUUCAGCUGUUCUGAAAAGCAUGCAACUCGGAAGCAACUUUUGGGGAGACGGCUGUGAUCAGUGCUGUGUGGAGAUGAAGAGACUUCUUGAAACACGUGGGUUUAUUUAACAUGUGAAGCAAAACAUGAGAGGAACGAACUUGAAAACAGCAAGCAGCUGAUAAGCAUCUGUAAUUUAAACGUCAGACUUGUUUGAUGGACUGUGCUCCCCAGUGAUAGGAGCAGAACAGCCCCAAUUUACGUGCUUUAAUUAAUGCAGGCGAUCUGGAGACACAGCCUGCUCUCAGUAGGCAUCCCCCAGUAGGACUUUUUCUUGGAAGUUCUUUCCCCAAGCCGUAGGCCUGCUGUGUUCAUCUGAGCCCUGUGACCAUAUGUUGCACUGGCUUUUGUCAGGGGACCCAGCUGUGCAGCCUUUCUUUUGUCACAGACUGCCUUUUGCUUCUUCAGCUUAGGCAUCCAAGCAGCCUGAGAGCAUGCUGCUGCAGGAACAACUCAGUGAAAGCCUACUCUGUUGGUGGAAAAUGAACAUCAGGAAUAAGAUGCUUCAUUUCAGCUUGUUACCAUUACAUCAUUUGAAAUGCAGAACAUCUUCAGAGCUUUGUCUGCUUUCAAAAUGGCCAUUGAGAACAGUUCUCAUAUGUCGGCUUUGGAUAAAUGAUAAGCCCCACUUAAACUCAUUCCAUAAUCAUCUGAAUAAUGGUGCAGUGCUAAUACAUUUCUCCUUAUUCU
rnacentral:lncRNA from 7 species